UNGCCCUUUGGAGGGCAAGUCUGGUGCCAGCAGCCGCGGUAAUUCCAGCUCCAAUAGCGUAUAUUAAAGUUGUUGCAGUUAAAAAGCUCGUAGUUGAACCUUGGGCCUGGCUGGCCGGUCCGCCUCACCGCGUGCACUGGUUCGGCCGGGCCUUUCCCUCUGGGGAACCCUAUGGUCUUCACUGAUCGUAGCGGGGAACCAGGACUUUUACUGUGAAAAAAUUAGAGUGUUCAAAGCAGGCCUAUGCUCGAAUACAUUAGCAUGGAAUAAUAAAAUAGGACGUGUGGUUCUAUUUUGUUGGUUUCUAGGACCGCCGUAAUGAUUAAUAGGGACAGUCGGGGGCAUCAGUAUUCAAUUGUCAGAGGUGAAAUUCUUGGAUUUAUUGAAGACUAACUACUGCGAAAGCAUUUGCCAAGGAUGUUUUCAUUAAUCAGGAACGAAAGUUAGGGGAUCGAAGACGAUCAGAUACCGUCGUAGUCUUAACCAUAAACUAUGCCGACUAGGGAUCGGACGGUGUUAUUUUUUGACCCGUUCGGCGCCUUACGGGAAAC
rnacentral:rRNA from 1 species